UUAUGGCCACAUCACAUUGAAACCCAGGUUCCCAUACAAUCACCAAAGUUAAGCAACAUUGAGCAAGGUCAGUACCUAGAUGGGUGCCUGCUUGGGAAUACCAGGA